rnacentral:rRNA from 1 species
AUGGCCCGAGGGCCUCCACCCGACCUAUUCUGCCCCAGAUCGAACCCUUCCACCAAAUCGAACCCUCGCUCCUCCUCGACCGCCGCCGUCGCCGCCCCCACCCCUAUGCCGUUGGCCACACCCUCUCUCUUGGCUGAUCUGUGCAACCCCAUCGGGAUCUAUGGCGGCAGUGCUUGGAUCUCGGCGUCGCCUCCCUCCAGACGCAUCUGGUGUGCGAGAUCAAAGUCGCCUCCCUCCCUUCGACACCACCACCAGAACUGCUCGACACCGCCGGUCGCCUCCCUCUCUUCUACACGGCGACGAGCAUGGGUGGAUUCCCCUCAUGGCUUCCUCCCCGCGAACGGCGACGCGGUGCCUCCUCUCCACUAUGCACGUACAACACGCUCCUUAGAUCUGUCCUGGUGGAAACUCGAUGAGGUGCUAUUAGGGAAAGGAUUGGAGACUGGUUCUAGUAGUGGUUGGUUUGUUGGAGGAUUUUCUAGUGCUCAUGAUUUGCAAAUGGUUCAGCCAGUACUGGCGUCUAGCAACCUUGAAGCCCACAGUCGACCUGUAGGCCACAUCUCUCUCAGUGUUGCAUGA